rnacentral:rRNA from 1 species
CCUACGGGUGACAGCAGUGGGGAAUAUUGCACAAUGGGCGAAAGCCUGAUGCAGCGACGCCGCGUGAGUGAAGAAGUAUUUCGGUUUGUAAAGCUCUAUCAGCAGAGAAGAAAAUGACGGUACGUGAUUAAGAAGCCCCGGCUAACUACGUGCCAGCAGCCGCGGUCAUACGUAGGGGGCAAGCGUUAUCCGGAUUUACUGGGUGUAAAGGGAGCGUAGACGGCAGCACAAGUCUGGAGUGAAAUGCCGGGGCUUAACCCAGGAAGUGCUUUGGAAACUGGGCAGCUAGAGUGCAGGAGAGGUAAGUGGAAUUCCUAGUGUAGCGGUGAAAUGCGUAGAUAUUAGGAGGAACACCAGUGGCGAAGGCGGCUGACUGGACUGUAACUGACGUUGAGGCUCGAAAGCGUGGGGAGCAAACAGGAUUAGAUACCCGUGUAGUC